rnacentral:rRNA from 1 species
GCGUGAGGGAUGAAGGCCUUCGGGUUGUAAACCUCUUUCAGUAGGGAAGAAGCGCAAGUGACGGUACCUACAGAAGAAGCACCGGCUAACUACGUGCCAGCAGCCGCGGUAAUACGUAGGGUGCGAGCGUUGUCCGGAAUUAUUGGGCGUAAAGAGCUUGUAGGCGGUUUGUCGCGUCUGCCGUGAAAAUCCGGGGCUCAACUCCGGACUUGCGGUGGGUACGGGCAGACUAGAGUGUGGUAGGGGAGACUGGAAUUCCUGGUGUAGCGGUGAAAUGCGCAGAUAUCAGGAGGAACACCGAUGGCGAAGGCAGGUCUCUGGGCCACUACUGACGCUGAGAAGCGAAAGCGUGGGGAGCGAACAGGGUUAGAUACCCUGGUAGUCCACGCCGUAAACGUUGGGAACUAGGUGUGGGUCUCAUUCCACGAGAUCCGUGCCGCAGCUAACGCAUUAAGUUCCCCGCCUGGGGAGUACGGCGCAAGGCU